GACUGGGGCGGUCUCCUCCUAAAGAGUAACGGAGGAGCACGAAGGUUGGCUAAUCCUGGUCGGACAUCAGGAGGUUAGUGCAAUGGCAUAAGCCAGCUUGACUGCGAGCGUGACGGCGCGAGCAGGUGCGAAAGCAGGUCAUAGUGAUCCGGUGGUUCUGAAUGGAAGGGCCAUCGCUCAACGGAUAAAAGGUACUCCGGGGAUAACAGGCUGAUACCGCCCAAGAGUUCAUAUCGACGGCGGUGUUUGGCACCUCGAUGUCGGCUCAUCACAUCCUGGGGCUGAAGUAGGUCCCAAGGGUAUGGCUGUUCGCCAUUUAAAGUGGUACGCGAGCUGGGUUUAGAACGUCGUGAGACAGUUCGGUCCCUAUCUGCCGUGGGCGCUGGAGAACUGAGGGGGGCUGCUCCUAGUACGAGAGGACCGGAGUGGACGCAUCACUGGUGUUCGGGUUGUCAUGCCAAUGGCACUGCCCGGUAGCUAAAUGCGGAAGAGAUAAGUGCUGAAAGCAUCUAAGCACGAAACUUGCCCCGAGAUGAGUUCUCCCUGACUCCUUGAGAGUCCUGAAGGAACGUUGAAGACGACGACGUUGAUAGGCCGGGUGUGUAAGCGCAGCGAUGCGUUGAGCUAACCGGUACUAAUGAACCGUGAGGCUUAACCUUACAACGCCGAAG
rnacentral:rRNA from 1 species